rnacentral:lncRNA from 10 species
AGGUUCCACCCUUUUCUGGGAACUUUACACCCCGCCACUCCUGAGCACCGCACACCGGCUUCCUCCCAGUCCCUCAUCUGAGAACUCAUGAAGCCACUUGGAAUCCCUCUCUGCUUUGCCUGGCUCAUUCCAUGUCAAUUUCAGAUCUUCACUUCAGGUCAGCUCCAAGGAGGCUAUCCUUGCCCAUCUUCCUAAAAUAGAGCUCUCAAAACCUGGCUGUUUUCCUUCAGAGCACUGGCCUCCAAUUGCUCCGGUAGAUUGCAAAUGACCUGCUUUCUUUCUGUUCCCGGGCUGCGUUCGGACCCCUGUCGGAUAGUAACUCCCAAGUAAGGUACCUGCCGUCGGCAGAUUGGAGCUUUCUUCUUGGAGACCUAAUACCCACAGUCCUCCAGGCUCCGGUAGAUUGCAAAUGACCUGCUUUCUUUCUGUUCCCGGGCUGCGUUCGGACCCCUGUCGGAGAGUAAAUCCGAAAAAAACAAACAAAGACAUGGAUUUACUGUGCAUAUUAGCAGAUCCAUACUGGAAAAUGCAUGGAGGUUUCAUAUACACCACUUACAGGUUUCCAAAGCCACAAUUUCCUUCAUAUGUUCAAACUCUUCAGGAUGCAGAAAGGCAGUGAACUCCUCCGGAGUAGCUGUCAGGUCACCAUUGAGGUCUGCAGCUUUGAAUCUUCUCUCAUCACGUGGCAGCAUCUUUUUAAAGGUGUGAUGAUCUGAAGAAUCAUGAAACUCUGCGGGGUUUCCUAGGUUUUCAGCUCCUCAGUAGUGACAAAGCCAUACCCAUCAUUGUCGAUUCGAUCAACAAUCUUCCCUAGCCUCUCCUUGCUCUCGUCCGGGGUGAGCUCGUCGAAGUUCUUGGAGUCCUCCUUGCCCAGGAAGGCCUCGUGGUCGUACUGGAAGCUCUGGUUGUCCUCAGGGGGCCGCUCGCCCAGCUCCGAGUCGGGCCGCACCACGCGCUCUUUGCGCACCGUGGGCUUGGCCCGCAGAACCCGCGGCGCCAGCACCAGCGCCAGCAGCAGCCCCAGGGCUAACCCCAGGCGGCCACCGCGCGCCAUCGUCCCGAGGAGAGGGCGGCCGGGAGGGAGACGCUGAGCGAGCGACAACAGCGGCAGCUCGGGAAUGGGGGCUCGGAGCGCGGCGGCCAAGUUUUAUGUUAUGUAUAUUUUACAAGUAAAAAAAUUUUUUCACCUCAGCCUGAACUGAACACUAGCUGACAGACGUUUUGAUUUCUUUGACCAUCACGGAAUCGUGGCCAAGCGCGGUGGCUCACAUCUGUAAUCCCAACACUUUGGGAGGUCAAGAUGGGCGGAUUGCUUGAAUCCAGGUGUUUGAGAUCAGCCUGGGCAACAUG